GACGAACGCUGGCGGCGUGCUUAACACAUGCAAGUCGAACGGAAAGGCCCUGCUUUUGUGGGGUGCUCGAGUGGCGAACGGGUGAGUAACACGUGAGUAACCUGCCCUUGACUUUGGGAUAACUUCAGGAAACUGGGGCUAAUACCGGAUAGGAGCUCCUGCUGCAUGGUGGGGGUUGGAAAGUUUCGGCGGUUGGGGAUGGACUCGCGGCUUAUCAGCUUGUUGGUGGGGUAGUGGCUUACCAAGGCUUUGACGGGUAGCCGGCCUGAGAGGGUGACCGGCCACAUGGGGACGGAGAUACGGCCCAGACCCCUAGGGGGGGCAGAGGGGGGGAAAUUGGCAAAAGGGGGGGAAGCCUGAUGCACAAACGCCGGGGGGGGGAGGCGGGCUUUGGGUUUUAAACCGGUUUUCCCCUUGGAGGAGGGGGGGGUGAGGGAAAGGGGAAAAAAAGCCCCGGCUAACUACGU
rnacentral:rRNA from 1 species